UACAGAGGUGGCAAGCGUUGUUCGGAAUUACUGGGCGUAAAGGGCGCGUAGGCGGUUCGUCAAGUCCUGUGUGAAAUCCCCCGGCUCAACUGGGGAACUGCACAGGAAACUAGCGGGCUUGAGUUCGGGAGAGGGAAGCGGAAUUCCGGGUGUAGCGGUGAAAUGCGUAGAUAUCCGGAGGAACACCAGUGGCGAAGGCGGUGCUCUGGGCCGGAACUGACGCUGAGGAGCGAAAGCGUGGGGAGCAAACAGG
rnacentral:rRNA from 1 species